CAAUAGCGUAUAUUUAAGUUGUUGCAGUUAAAAAGCUCGUAGUUGGAUUUCGGGUGGGACGCAGCGGUCUCGCAUUGCGUUUGUACUGCUGCAGCCCUCCUUCUUGCCGGGGGCGGCCUCUCGGACUUCACUGUCUGGGGGUCAGAAACGGCGAUGUUACUUUGAGUAAAUUAGAGUGUUCAAAGCAAGCUUACGCUCUGAAUAUAAUAGCAUGGGAUAACACGACAGGACUCUGGCCUAUCGUGUUGGUCUAUAGGACCAGAGUAAUGAUUAAGAGGGACAGUCGGGGGCAUUCGUAUUCCGUUGUCAGAGGUGAAAUUCUUGGAUUUACGGAAGACGAACAUCUGCGAAAGCAUUUGCCAAGGAUGUUUUCAUUGA
rnacentral:rRNA from 1 species